UUCAGAUGAGGAUUAUGUGGAUUAUUUACAAGAAGUGAUUCCUGAAAUUCCAGCAAACAUUCUUGCUUUGCUUCAGAUAGCUGAAAAAUAUAGACGUUCUUGAUUUUGGAGACCCAACCGGCCCUUGCUUUUACUUCGGAGCUUUUAUGUGGGAUUCUGAGAAAUCUGGGAAAAGAGAUUCUGACGGGGCUGCAGCUUUUUCACUGUGUUGUAUGAAGGGAAAAGUUGAUUUACCCUUAAUCCCUAAGCCGCCUCCUCUACUUCUUGACUUGAUAACAGAUAAAGAACCUAGGGCGCAGAAUUUCAAGAAGAAUAUAAGAGCGUAUAAUAGCAUGUUUGCCUUUACGACUAUGGGUGGGAAGAUUUUAACUGUUCUUAAUGACGGUGGAGCCCCCCCCCCCAAUUUGUAUUAAGUGGACAGAACUAUCACCAAAUGGAUUCCUUAAUUCCACGUCAAGGGCAACAUCCUAAGUUUGCUUAGCUGUAUAUUUAUGAUACACAGAAUGAGAAUGCUAAUAGAGUAAGGAAUCUAAGCUCCAAUGGGAGAGGACAGGGUCUUGACCUUUCUUUAGUGGAAGAUCUUAAGCAGAUGAUUGACAGACACAAUGUCCUAGCCAGAAUAUUUAGCCAGGUUUGAGAAUGAUUGAAUUCUAUUGAUUCAACCCAAUUAUCUAUCUGACUUUUUAGAGCCCGAGGGAAAGAUCCUAGAACUUAUAAUAUGCCGUCAACGGAUGAGGUAGCAGCCUUGAUUGUUUGGGACAUUUGGGAGUCAGACGUUGGCAGAGAUGUUGUUGUCAAAAUGAAUGAUGGAUAUCUUUCAAACAUACAUGAAACUCAUACCGCUUUCAUUCCCUUGCACUAUCCGCUUCUAUUUCCUUACGGAGAAGAUGGCUUCCGUGAAGAUAUUCCCAUUAGUGAGAUUUUUAGAAACAUGGGAAGCUACAAAAGAUGGAAAUUUUAUAUGACGCAAUUCAUUGCAUUCCGCCUCCAAGACAGAAACUCUGAGUAUGGGAACAUUGUUUUUGCUAAGAGGUCGUUCCAACAGUUCGUCGUUGACGCAUAUAACAUGAUUGAAACAAACUGUCUUUCUUAUAUUCGAAUUAAUCAGAAAACUAUAAGAGCAGAUUAUUUAAAUGGGGUUGUAGAGGUAAUUGAGAAGGGAGAGGCAGACCCGUCAUCUAUAAGAAAGCGGAUUAUAUUGCCUCCUUCCUUUACAUGAGGCCGUCGUUACAUGUUUAAUAAUUGUCAGGAUGCCAUGUCAAUUUGCAAAAAGUUUGGGUACCCUGAUCUUUUUAUUACAGCAACAUGUAAUUCACAAUGGGGGGAAAUUCAAAGGUAUGUCUGUUGUAGGAAUUUGAGAGCAGAAGAUAGACCUGAUAUUUGUGUUAGAGUUUUCAAGAUGAAGCUCGAUAAUCUGAUGUCUGAUAUAAGGAAAGGCACUAUAUUUGG